CAGAGUUCAUGCCCUAACGGGUAGAUCUCCCACCCUUGAGUAUUAUACUUUUGUUGCUUUGGCAGGCCGCUUCGACUACCGGCUUCGGCUGGUAAGUGCCUGCCAGAGGACCCAAAACUCUGAAUUAUAAUGUUGUCUGAGUACUACAAAAUAGUUA
rnacentral:misc_RNA from 1 species